rnacentral:rRNA from 1 species
AUUGAACGCUGGCGGAAUGCUUUACACAUGCAAGUCGAGCGGCAGCGCGGGGCAACCUGGCGGCGAGCGGCGAACGGGUGAGUAAUACAUCGGAACGUACCCAGUUGUGGGGGAUAGCCCGGCGAAAGCCGGAUUAAUACCGCAUACGACCUGAGGGUGAAAGGGGGGAGUCGCAAGACCUCUCGCAGUUGGAGCGGCCGAUGGCGGAUUAGCUAGUUGGUAGGGUAAAGGCCUACCAAGGCGACGAUCCGUAGCUGGUCUGAGAGGACGACCAGCCACACUGGAACUGAGACACGGUCCAGACUCCUACGGGAGGCAGCAGUGGGGAAUUUUUGGACAAUGGGGGCGAACCCUGAUCCAGCCAUUCCGCGUGAGUGAGGAAGGCC